UUUAUGGAGAGUUUGAUCCUGGCUCAGGAUAAACGCUGGCGGCGUGCCUAAUACAUGCAAGUCGAGCGAACGGACGAGAAGCUUGCUUCUCUGAUGUUAGCGGCGGACGGGUGAGUAACACGUGGAUAACCUACCUAUAAGACUGGGAUAACUUCGGGAAACCGGAGCUAAUACCGGAUAAUAUUUUGAACCGCAUGGUUCAAAAGUGAAAGACGGUCUUGCUGUCACUUAUAGAUGGAUCCGCGCUGCAUUAGCUAGUUGGUAAGGUAACGGCUUACCAAGGCAACGAUGCAUAGCCGACCUGAGAGGGUGAUCGGCCACACUGGAACUGAGACACGGUCCAGACUCCUACGGGAGGCAGCAGUAGGGAAUCUUCCGCAAUGGGCGAAAGCCUGACGGAGCAACGCCGCGUGAGUGAUGAAGGUCUUCGGAUCGUAAAACUCUGUUAUUAGGGAAGAACAUAUGUGUAAGUAACUGUGCACAUCUUGACGGUACCUAAUCAGAAAGCCACGGCUAACUACGUGCCAGCAGCCGCGGUAAUACGUAGGUGGCAAGCGUUAUCCGGAAUUAUUGGGCGUAAAGCGCGCGUAGGCGGUUUUUUAAGUCUGAUGUGAAAGCCCACGGCUCAACCGUGGAGGGUCAUUGGAAACUGGAAAACUUGAGUGCAGAAGAGGAAAGUGGAAUUCCAUGUGUAGCGGUGAAAUGCGCAGAGAUAUGGAGGAACACCAGUGGCGAAGGCGACUUUCUGGUCUGUAACUGACGCUGAUGUGCGAAAGCGUGGGGAUCAAACAGGAUUAGAUACCCUGGUAGUCCACGCCGUAAACGAUGAGUGCUAAGUGUUAGGGGGUUUCCGCCCCUUAGUGCUGCAGCUAACGCAUUAAGCACUCCGCCUGGGGAGUACGACCGCAAGGUUGAAACUCAAAGGAAUUGACGGGGACCCGCACAAGCGGUGGAGCAUGUGGUUUAAUUCGAAGCAACGCGAAGAACCUUACCAAAUCUUGACAUCCUUUGACAACUCUAGAGAUAGAGCCUUCCCCUUCGGGGGACAAAGUGACAGGUGGUGCAUGGUUGUCGUCAGCUCGUGUCGUGAGAUGUUGGGUUAAGUCCCGCAACGAGCGCAACCCUUAAGCUUAGUUGCCAUCAUUAAGUUGGGCACUCUAAGUUGACUGCCGGUGACAAACCGGAGGAAGGUGGGGAUGACGUCAAAUCAUCAUGCCCCUUAUGAUUUGGGCUACACACGUGCUACAAUGGACAAUACAAAGGGCAGCGAAACCGCGAGGUCAAGCAAAUCCCAUAAAGUUGUUCUCAGUUCGGAUUGUAGUCUGCAACUCGACUACAUGAAGCUGGAAUCGCUAGUAAUCGUAGAUCAGCAUGCUACGGUGAAUACGUUCCCGGGUCUUGUACACACCGCCCGUCACACCACGAGAGUUUGUAACACCCGAAGCCGGUGGAGUAACCUUUUAGGAGCUAGCCGUCGAAGGUGGGACAAAUGAUUGGGGUGAAGUCGUAACAAGGUAGCCGUAUCGGAAGGUGCGGCUGGAUCACCUCCUUUCU
rnacentral:rRNA from 2 species